AUUGAACGCUGGCGGCAUGCCUUACACAUGCAAGUCGAACGGUAACAGGUCUUCGGAUGCUGACGAGUGGCGAACGGGUGAGUAAUACAUCGGAACGUGCCCAGUAGUGGGGGAUAGCCCGGCGAAAGCCGGAUUAAUACCGCAUACGACCUACGGGUGAAAGGGGGGGAUCGCAAGACCUCUCGCUAUUGGAGCGGCCGAUGUCAGAUUAGGUAGUUGGUGGGGUAAAGGCCUACCAAGCCGACGAUCUGUAGCUGGUCUGAGAGGACGACCAGCCACACUGGGACUGAGACACGGCCCAGACUCCUACGGGAGGCAGCAGUGGGGAAUUUUGGACAAUGGGCGCAAGCCUGAUCCAGCCAUGCCGCGUGCGGGAAGAAGGCCUUCGGGUUGUAAACCGCUUUUGUCAGGGAAGAAAUCUUUUGAGCUAAUACCUCGGAAGGAUGACGGUACCUGAAGAAUAAGCACCGGCUAACUACGUGCCAGCAGCCGCCGUAAGAC
rnacentral:rRNA from 1 species